rnacentral:rRNA from 1 species
AUGAACGCUGGCGGCGUGCCUAAUACAUGCAAGUCGAGCGAACAGAUAAGGAGCUUGCUCCUUUGACGUUAGCGGCGGACGGGUGAGUAACAUGUGGGUAACCUACCUAUAAGACUGGGAUAACUUCGGGAAACCGGAGCUAAUACCGGAUAAUAUAUUGAACCGCAUGGUUCAAUAGUGAAAGACGGUUUUGCUGUCACUUAUAGAUGGAUCCGCGCCGCAUUAGCUAGUUGGUAAGGUAACGGCUUACCAAGGCAACGAUGCGUAGCCG